rnacentral:rRNA from 1 species
CUCUUUUUGAUUAUAAUUUAAAGUAGGGCCUGCCCACUGAAUUUUGAAGGGCCGCAGUAUUUUGACUGUGCAAAGGUAGCAUAAUCAUUAGUUUUUUAAUUGAAAGCUUGUAUGAAUGGUUUGAUGAGAAAAUUUCUGUCUCAGUUUUAAUUUUUUAAAAUUUUAUUUUUAAGUAAAAAAGCUUAAAUAAAUUUAAAAGACGAGAAGACCCUAUAGAGUUUAAUUUAAAAUAAUUUAAUUAAUUUUAGAAUUUAUUUUUUUUUAUAUUAUUUUAAAUUUAGUUGGGGUGACUAAAAAAUUAAAUUAACUUUUUUUUUAUUUUUACAUUUAUAUAUGAAUAUUUGAUCCAUUUUAAAUGAUUAUAAGAUUAAAUUACCUUAGGGAUAACAGCGUAAUUUUUUUUGAGAGUUCUUAUUGAAAAAAAAGAUUGCGACCUCGAUGUUGGAUUAAAAUUUAUUUUUGGUGUAGAAGCUAAAAAAUUAGGUCUGUUCGACCUUUAAAAUUUUACAUGAUCUGAGUUUAAACCGGUGUAAGCCAGGUUGGUUUCUAUCUUUAAAAAUUUUAAAUAUUUUAGUACGAAAGGAUCAAAUAUUUUAUUUAUAAUAUAAUUUUUGAAUAAAAUUUUUAUUUUGGCAGAAUAGUGCGAAAGAUUUAGAAUCUUUUUAUGUAAUUUUUACAAAUAAAAAUUGAAUUGGUUUUAAUUGUAGUAAAUUUUUUAUUAUUGUUUAUUGGAGUUUUAGUAGGAGUUGCAUUUUUAACUUUAUUAGAACGAAAGCUUUU